rnacentral:rRNA from 1 species
UGGGGAAUAUUGGGGCAAUGGGCGCAAGCCUGACCCAGCAACGCCGCGUGAAGGAAGAAGGCUUUCGGGUUGUAAACUUCUUUUAAGAGGGAAGAGCAGAAGACGGUACCUCUAGAAUAAGCCACGGCUAACUACGUGCCAGCAGCCGCGGUAAUACGUAGGUGGCAAGCGUUGUCCGGAUUUACUGGGUGUAAAGGGCGUGCAGCCGGGAGAGCAAGUCAGAUGUGAAAUCCAUGGGCUUAACCCAUGAACUGCAUUUGAAACUGUUUUCUUGAGUGUCGGAGGGGCAAUCGGAAUUCCUAGUGUAGCGGUGAAAUGCGUAGAUAUUAGGAGGAACACCAGUGGCGAAGGCGGAUUGCUGGACGACAACUGACGGUGAGGCGCGAAAGCGUGGGGAGCAAAC